rnacentral:rRNA from 1 species
UCGCCAAACAACUACGAGUAAUACUUAAAACUUAAAAGACUUGACGGUACUUCAUCCCGACCUAGAGGAGCCUGUCUAAUAACCGACAAUCCACGAUUAACCCAACCUCUUCUUGCCCCACAGUCUAUAUACCGCCGUCGUCAGCUUACCUUGUAAAAGAAAUAAAGUGAGCUAAACAGUACCACACUAAAACGACAGGUCGAGGUGUAACUUAUGAAGAGGACCAAGAUGGGCUACAUUCUCCAACUAAGAAUACGAACAACACCAUGAAAUUAGUGUUUAAAGGCGGAUUUAGCAGUAAGAUAAGAAUAAAAUACCUAACUGAAUAUAACGCAAUGAAGUGCGUACACACCGCCCGUCACCC